UUCAAGAGAUGGGAAUCGAACCCAUGACCUUCCGCUUACCGGGCAGAUGCCAUGACCACUAGGCUACCCUGGA
rnacentral:tRNA from 1 species